UAAAGAACGUUUGAUUGUGUCCAGCA
rnacentral:piRNA from 1 species